rnacentral:rRNA from 1 species
AGAAGCAGCCACCAUUUAAAGAGUGCGUAAUAGCUCACUGGUCGAGAGACGCUGCGCCGAAAAUGUCCGGGGCUCAAGCACGGAACCGAAGCUAUGGCAUGAUAGCAAUAUCAUGGGUAGGGGAGCGUUCUUAUAAGGAAGAAGCAUGACCGGAAGGACAUGUGGACGAAUAAGAAGUGAGAAUGCCGGUAUGAGUAUCGAAAAGAAAGGUGAGAAUCCUUUCCACCGAAAGCCCGAGGGUUCCUGAGCAACGAUCGUCGACUCAGGGUAAGUCGGGACCUAAGCCGAGGCGGAAAGCGUAGGCGAUGGACAACAGGUUGAAAUUCCUGUACCGGAUCAAGUCGAUCGAGCGAAGGAGCGACGCAGGAGGGCACAUGAUCGCGCGGCUGGAAGAGCGCGUCCAAGUGCGUAUGUUGCUGCAGAGGAAAACCCCUGCGGCUAAAAGCAGAGACAUGAUGGGGAGUUAAAGGAAACUUUGACGAACUCAUGGAUCCCACACUGCCAAGAAAAACUUCUAGCGAGACAAGAUCCGCCCGUACCGUAAACCGACACAGGUAGGCGGGGAGAGAAUCCUAAGGUGCGCGGGAAAACCCUCGUUAAGGAACUCGGCAAAUUGCAUCCGUAACCUAGGGAGAAGGAUGGCCCCCGGUCAGUGAAGAGCAGAAACGCUCAGAGCUAAAAGGGGCGGCAGAAAAGAGGCCCAAGCAACUGUUUACCAAAAACACAGGUGCCUGCGAAAGCGAAAGCUGAAGUAUAGGUGCUGACGCCUGCCCGGUGCCGGAAGGUUAAGGAGAGAAGUUAGCGAAAGCGAAGCAUCGAACUGAAGCCCCGGUGAACGGCGGCCGUAACUAUAACGGUCCUAAGGUAGCGAAAUUCCUUGUCGGGUAAGUUCCGACCCGCAUGAAAGGCGUAAUGAUUUGGGCACUGUCUCAACGAGGGGCCCGGUGAAAUUGAAAUACCUGUGAAGAUGCAGGUUACCCGCGACUGGACAGAAAGACCCCAUGGAGCUUCACUGCAGCUUGAGAUUGAAUCCCGGUGACAGAUGCACAGGAUAGGUGGGAGGCGCCGAAGCAUUGCCCUAGGGCGGUGCGGAGCCGAUGUUGGGAUACCACCCUUCUGUUGCUGAGAUUCUAACGCGAGGAGUAACGACCCUGCGGACCCUCUCAGGCAGGCGGUUUGACUGGGGCGGUCGCCUCCGAAAGAGUAACGGAGGCGCCCAAAGGUUCCCUCAGGCCGGACAGAAACCGGCCGAAGAGUGCAAAGGCAGAAGGGAGCUUGACUGCGAGACCAACAAGUCGAGCAGGGACGAAAGUCGGGCUUAGUGAUCCGGUGGUACUGAGUGGAAAGGCCAUCGCUCAACGGAUAAAAGCUACCCUGGGGAUAACAGGCUAAUCUCUCCCAAGAGUUCAUAUCGACGGGGAGGUUUGGCACCUCGAUGUCGGCUCAUCACAUCCUGGGGCUGGAGUAGGUCCCAAGGGUUGGGCUGUUCGCCCAUUAAAGUGGUACGCGAGCUGGGUUCA